AUUGAACGCUGGCGGCAGGCCUAACACAUGCAAGUCGAGCGGCAGCGGGAAAGUAGCUUGCUACUUUUGCCGGCGAGCGGCGGACGGGUGAGUAAUGCCUGGGGAUCUGCCCAGUCGAGGGGGAUAACUACUGGAAACGGUAGCUAAUACCGCAUACGCCCUACGGGGGAGAGCAGGGGACCUUCGGGCCUUGCGCGAGUGGAUGAACCCAGGUGGGAUUAGCUAGUUGGUGAGGUAAUGGCUCACCAAGGCGACGAUCCCUAGCUGGUCUGAGAGGAUGAUCAGCCACACUGGAACUGAGACACGGUCCAGACUCCUACGGGAGGCAGCAGUGGGGAAUAUUGCACAAUGGGGGAAACCCUGAUGCAGCCAUGCCGCGUGUGUGAAGAAGGCCUUCGGGUUGUAAAGCACUUUCAGCGAGGAGGAAAGGUUGGUAGCUAAUAACUGCCAGCUGUGACGUUACUCGCAGAAGAAGCACCGGCUAACUCCGUGCCAGCAGCCGCUGUAA
rnacentral:rRNA from 1 species